GCUGGGUGUGGUGGGGCACACCUGUAGUCCAGCCACUCGGGAGGCUGAGGCAGGAGGAUGGCUUGAGCCCAGGAGUUCUGGGCUGUAGUGUGCUAUGCCAAUCAGGUGUUCACACUAAGUUCAGCAUCAACAUGGUGGCCUCCUGGGAGCAGGGGACCAUCAGGUUGACUAAGGAGGGUUUGAAACGGCCUCUGCUGGAAACAGAGGUCAAAACUCCCGUGCUGAUUAGUAGUGGGAUCGUGCCUGUAAAGAGCCACUGAACGCUAGCCUGAGCAACACAAUGAGACCCCAUCUCUA
rfam:Chlorocebus sabaeus isolate 1994-021 chromosome 16, whole genome shotgun sequence.